CGGUGAUCAUGGUUGGCCGGGGAUUGGACAGGUUUAUCUUUUCCCUCUGCAGUAUCAAAUAGUGUUUAAUCUUCAAAAGAAUAUAUUAUUAUUAUUAAAAGAAUGAACGAAUAUUAAAUUCAGAAGAUGUAAAUCUCAUUGCUUCCUCUGUUUUGGCCAGGUGAUGAGAGCGGUGAUCAUGGUUGGGUUUGCAACACUAGUUUUCUUCACCAGACAAAGGAAACCAGGUACCAUGUCUCUAAUUGUUUAUAGAUUAUUCAUUGUAUCUUGUAAUACAGACAGAAAUGUAGACUGAUAAAAAUUAAGUAUUGAUGAUGUUUCAGAUAACUAAGCUGAUGGAACUAUCCAUUUCCAUUGUCAUCCAGAAAGCAAGGGAACUAUUUAAUUUGUACCCACCAAUUGUUUUAUUGUUAAACGCAUUCUCUUUCGCUGAAUAUACAGAGGCGUGAUUUGAGUCAAUGAGGCCAUUGUACACUCAUUCAAUUGAAAUUUCUCUCGAUUUCACUUUCCUGCUAAUAAAGUCACAAAUAGAUAAGCUCAAAUUCAACCAUUUGUUCAACAUGCUUUAGGAAAAUAGUGGAUGAAUCAAGGGACUCUGGCAAAAGCUAGUUUUUCAAGCCGACAGUCUGGAAUUUUCAGAGAAAAACAGAUUGGUGGGGUAGGGGAUUUUGGGGAAGUAAGCCAAUUCAUAGCAACAUGCAAAGGCAAGGCGAAAAGCUUCGUGUCAAACUUGGCUCUGGAGAAAGGACAAUAAAACGAGAAAUGGAUGCAGAAGAAACACAUGCAGACUGAUGAUCUAGCCCAGUCAGGUGAAAAAUCAUUGCAUUUAGCCGUAAGCAUAGAAGUAAACGAGACAAAAUUUGGCUGAUACAACAACAGUGACUAUACUGGCACGUUCACAAGCAAGCAGAUAUUUAUAUUUUUCAGAACAGAAGCCAUAUGUGCUACUUUAGUAAAUAAAUUGAACUUCAAUCAUGCAACUAGCAUGCCUAUUGCUGUCAUACUGGCUCAUUGUAUUGUAUGUAAACAGCAUGUUAGCCACCUCUAUGAAUUAACAGGCUUUCCAUUUAACUUGGGAAAGGGAUCUUGCUUGCUUAACACUGCGACUUUGCUUUUAUGUGCAAAGUAUCCUUUAACAAGGUUCUUGUUUAUUAAUAUGGCCACAAUACAUUCCACCUCAUCCAAAUCCAUGUCCAUCUCAAGCCACUUUAACGCUUUAAUAAUUAUUUCCAACUUCAUCUGGUGAGCUUUGCUCGGGUCCUUCUGCUUUUGGAUGAUGUAAAUUUUUUUCAGCAAUCUUUGAUAAACCUGGAGCUCUAGCUUCUCCAGAACAAGAAACACACCUGACCUUAGAAACCGGUCUUCAUGCUCCUGGAGGGCAUGUCGAAGAAGUCGAAGAUCACCCCUUUUUAGAGCUUGAACAACAUUUCUGUACUCAACUAGGUUAUACUUUUCCAGGAGCCAAUCUUUAGGCAAGAUACCUAUUGAAAGCUUCACAGGUAUCAAAUAUUUUAGAAUCAUCCUGAACAACCAAAGAUUUUUUUAAAAAAGAGGUGGGCUAGGAAUUGCAACAUUAUUAAAUGACACGGAAUCAAAUGAAAGAAGGUUCAAAAUGAGUAAGCAUGCCACAUUAAAACCAGAGUUAACAAAAUAUAGUUCCAAUUUGCCUCAUCUUGGAGAUAUAGAACCACAGCCUCCAGAAAAGACUAUUUUGUUUUGAUGCUUUCAUCUAUUUUACGCUUUUAUUUAGUAUGUGCAUACAACAUUUACAUCUUUUGUAAUAUUUUGGUUCCUGUUUUUCCUUUCUCCCAAGUAACAAAUUUCCAUUGUUUUUAGCCAAAUUAAAAAUCAAAAUAUAGUAUUUCAGCACAAUCAGAGAAGCAAUUAUCAGUAAUUUAACUAUGUAAUAUGCAUAGUUAUUAAAUGCUCAAGGCGCACUAAGGCGCCA
rnacentral:misc_RNA from 1 species